ensembl:lncRNA
CUCUCACUCUUCUUCAGCAUGUUAGUGAAAAGAAUUCCCCCAGCCCAAAGGCUUUGCUUGAACCAUUGCCCUUUUCUUCUGCAAUCAGAAAAGACUGCUAAAGUAUUGCUGUUGUUCAGUCACUGAGUUGUGUCCGACUCUUUGAGAUACCAUGGACUGCACACCAGGCCUCCCUGUCCCUCACCAUCUCCUGGAGUUCACCCAAGUUGAUGUCCAUUGAAUCAGUGAUGCUAUCCAACCAUCUCCUCCUCUGCUGCCCUCUUCUCCUUCUGCGUUCAGUAUCCAACAAAUAUCCCAGUAUCCAACGAGUUGGCUCUUUGAAUCAGGUGGCCAAAGUAUGGGAGCUCUAGCUUUAGCAUCUGUCCUUCCGAAUGUCUGGAGACAAUGAAAUUGUUGGCUGGGAUUGUUUACUUUCUCCAGAGUUGGUGAUUCUGAUGCUCUGCAGAAACUAUCAAUACAUUUGGGAGAGAAUGAGCAGCGUCUGGGAAGAGUGCCUGAAUGAGGAGAGAAAUAGAGACCAAGAAGCGAGAGGAAGCGGAAAGGGGCAAGCACACAGAUGGGCCUGAGGAUGUCAACAGGGAGAGAGAGAGACGUUUACAGAAAAGAGGAAGGGCAGAAGACAGGGAAGAAAAGAAGGAAAGAAGCAAGCAGUCUGGGAUUUGAAGGGACCCAGGAGGAAAGGUGGGGAAAGAAAAGAGACAAAAAGCAAAGCAAGUAGUGAGCCUGAAACUGAGCUUCCUUUCUUUCCAUAGCUGACACUGAGUAGAGUCGAACUUCACAGGCCAGAAGCCAUCUGCGGCAUCAGCCCCAGUCCCACACCACUGCCAUGGGCUGUGGGGCUGCACUCACGGGUCAGGGCCGAAUGCAGCUGGAGAAACCCAGGAACUCCCAUAUGGUCAGAGGCUCUGCUCUCUUUACACAAAGCUGCUAUUGACAUCAAAGUGGCUCCCUGUGACCCGUGGUGUUCACUGUUCAAGCUCAGAGGCCUCUCUUUCAGUCUCAG